ACACCUGGGUAGCUUAUAUAACUAGAGCAUAGCACUGAAGAUGCUAAGGAAGCGUUGCAACCGCUCUUAGG
rnacentral:tRNA from 1 species